GCAAACUACAUUUAUUAAAAAUACAAGAUGUCUUGCCAUGAAGAACAAGAUCUUAUUGCAGGGAUGCAACGUAGAUCUACCUCCUAGUGGUGCACCCUGGUAACGCUUUGCGGCUAAAUGAUCUACAACUUUGGCUAGUACAGACAUCAAAAAAAUCUGUCCCUCUCUCUAAUGCCAAGUGCCUAACCAAGAAAAAGAUGAUGGCUCUCACUUUAAACCAAUGCACAGAGAAAAAUUCUGGUAAUAUCUGAUGGAAUAAUCUCAAAAAUCUUCCUACGUGGCCAAAACGUAGGGCAGUUGGUGAGUUUCGACUGACUACCGGACACGACUGCCUCCUCUAACAUCUCCAUCAAAUUCAUGUUGCUCGAGACCUUUUCUGCACGCUCUGUGACCUUCAAGCGGAGAUGGAUGCAGACCACCUUCGUCUUUGCCCAGCACUAGGGGAUAUCUCUUUGUGUGACUGUUACUGACGCGCAAAAGACUAAUUGGGGUCAUGGACUUUUCUUCCCACGUUUGUUUUUGUUUUGUGUUUGUUUAUUUUGUUGUUCCUCCAUUGUGGUGAGUGGUCUUUUGUAACCUUGGCCAUUGGAAAUAAAAAUAUAAAAAAUUA